rnacentral:rRNA from 1 species
GACGAACGCUGGCGGCGUGCUUAACACAUGCAAGUCGAACGGAGUGGCGAACGGGUGAGUAAGACGUGGGUGACCUGCCGUGCACUUCGGGGUAAGCACGGGAAACUGGGUCUAAUACCGGCUAGUGUGGGAUGGGGUCGCGGCCUAUCAGCUUGUUGGGGGGGUAAUGGCAUACCACGGCGGCGACGGGUAGCCGGCCUGAGAGGGUGGACGGCCCAUUGGUACUGAGAGACGCAGCAGACUCCUACGGGGGGCAGCGGGGGGGAAUAUUGCACAAUGGGCGGAAGUCUGAUGCAGCGACGCUGCGUGGGGGAUGACGGCCUUCGGGUGGUAAACUCCUUUCACCAUCGACGCGGUAGACGGAGAAGAAGCACCGGCUAACUACGUGCCAGCAGCCGCGGUAAUUC